GGAGGGUACAGCUCACUGGUAGAGUGCACGCCUAGCAUGCAUGAGGUCCUGGGUUCGAUCCCCAGAACCUCUG
rfam:Camelus ferus unplaced genomic scaffold scaffold812, whole genome shotgun sequence.